rnacentral:lncRNA from 1 species
UCUAUAAUUAUCCUUGUUUUACAGAUGAUGAUGUUUUAAUGAGCUGAAUCAAUUUUUCUAAGGGUGAUUAUCAUAGACUGGAGCCAGGAUUCAAGUGCUUGCAGCCUAACUCCAGCACUGUGCCUUUCACCAUUUUGGGAGGCAACUGCACUAGGACAGUCUGAUCCCAGCAGCGAAUACUUCAAUGGAGGAGAACAAAGGCUAAACCCAGUUUCCACCUAUGACAGCUAAAAAUCAAGGUCAAUCCCAGGUGAAUGUAAGUCACAACUACGUCCUGAAGUAAUGUAUUAUUUAAUAAUUU